rnacentral:rRNA from 1 species
ACUCAAAGGAAUAGACGGGGGCCCGCACAAGCGGAGGAACAUGUGGUUUAAUUCGAUGAUACGCGAGGAACCUUACCCGGGCUUGAAAUGGAGAGGAAUAACUUGGAAACAGGUUAGCCAGCAAUGGUCUCUUUGUAGGUGCUGCAUGGUUGUCGUCAGCUCGUGCCGUGAGGUGUCGGCUUAAGUGCCAUAACGAGCGCAACCCUUAUCAUUAGUUGCAAACAGGUAGUGCUGUGGACUCUAGUGAGACUGCCACCGUAAGGUGUGAGGAAGGUGGGGAUGACGUCAAAUCAGCACGGCCCUUACGUCCGGGGCGACACACGUGUUACAAUGGGAGAUACAACGGGCAGCUACUCGGCGACGAGGUGCUAAUCUCUAAAAAUCUCUCUCAGUUCGGAUUGGAGUCUGCAACUCGACUCCAUGAAGCUGGAUUCGCUAGUAAUCGCGCAUCAGCCACGGCGCGGUGAAUACGUUCCCGGGCCUUGUACACACCGCCCGU